UACAGAGGUCCCAAGCGUUGUUCGGAUGCACUGGGAGUAAAGGGUGCGUAGGCGGUCGGGUAAGUCUGGCGUGAAAUCUCCAAGCCUAACUUGGAAACUGCGUUGGAUACUAUCCGGCUCGAGGAAUGGAGGGGAGACUGGAAUACUUGGUGUAGCAGUGAAAUGCGUAGAUAUCAAGUGGAACACCAGUGGCGAAGGCGAGUCUCUGGACAUUUCCUGACGCUGAGGCACGAAAGCCAGGGGAGCAAACGGG
rnacentral:rRNA from 1 species